rnacentral:tRNA from 1 species
GGGGGCGUGGCGGAACUGGAAUUCGCAGAGGGCUUAAAACCCUCCGCCCGCAAGGGCAUGCAGGUUCGAAUCCUGCCGCCCCUACCA